AGAGAUGUAAUUCCAAGGGGAAUUUCAAGUGACUAAUUCCAUCACUUUGCUCACAACUUAAGAAGAAAGAAUCAAAUAAGAAUGUCCCAUCUAAACUCGCAGCACCCAGUGUGUGUUGCAAAAAAAAGAGCCAGAUGAGCCUUAAGGAGGAUGAAGAGGAGGAAGGACUGGAUAAUAGAAUGG